rnacentral:rRNA from 1 species
UACGUAGGGACCGAGCGUUGUCCGGAUUCAUUGGGCGUAAAGAGCUCGUAGGCGGCUGCUCAAGUCGAAUGUGAAAACUCGAGGCUCAACCUCGAGCCUGCAUUCGAUACUGGGCGGCUAGAGUCUGGUAGGGGGAUCUGGAAUUCCUGGUGUAGCGGUGGAAUGCGCAGAUAUCAGGAAGAACACCGGUGGCGAAGGCGGGAUCCUGGGCCAGUACUGACGCUGAGGAGCGAAAGCGUGGGGAGCAAACAGG